rnacentral:ncRNA from 1 species
GAGUAGGAUUGAUGCGUCAAGUGCCAUUUGAUGGGAGUUGCAAGUGGACGAAGGCUUCGCCGCGGUAUCAAUUCGCAUCCGC